rnacentral:tRNA from 1 species
CAGGGAGACAACAAAAUGUUUAAUAUUAUUAUUUUGUCACUUAGGUCGAUCGGUAUCUCACGUUCUUAAUUUAUUAAGAAUUUCAUUUCCUAAGUUUUUCUAGGUCACACCCAUUAUUUUUCCUGGGCCAUUAGCUCAGGUGGUUAGAGCGCACCCCUGAUAAGGGUGAGGUCCCUGGUUCAAGUCCAGGAUGGCCCAUAUCUCUAUGUUGGGGGUAUAGCUCAGUUGGUAGAGCGCCUGCUUUGCAAGCAGGAUGUCAGCGGUUCGAGUCCGCUUACCUCCACUGAUUACCACCUCUUCCAUAAUCGGUAGAAAGGAAAUGUUUUGAGUUGUGAUCAAAUUCUGAACGAAUCUAGCUUCCUAAUGUAAUUAUUAAGAUGCUGGAUUCAUUGAAUUAAUUUCAUUGUUUUCAGAGAACCUUGACAACUGCAUAGAUUAUUUUUAAAGACAAUAAGCAUCUUUAAUGAUGCAGAUUUAUUAUUUUUGCUAAUGCAUUAAUAACAAUUCUAUUAAGCUGAUGCUUCAA